rnacentral:misc_RNA from 1 species
CUUGUAGCUGAUGUUCCAUUAUCAUCAGUUGAGGGAGAGAGCAUUGAAGGGGCAAAUCAGCAAGCUUGGGAGAAGUGGUCAAAUGAUGGCACUGAGCAACAAGUAGCUAAGUUAAUGGAAGAAGACAUUGGUGCUGCUAUGCAAUUCCUUCAAUCCAAGGCACUUUGCAUCAUGCCCAUAUCACUUGCGUCGGCAAUCUUCCUAACUCACCCACCAGAUGGACCAUCAAUUGUCAAGCCUGAAUCAAACGCUCCAUCAUAAACCUCAAGAGUUACCUUCACGUGCUUAUCAAUCGCUCCCAGGAGGCAUCUGGGUCCCAUAGUUACAGCAACACCCAGUUGAAGUUUCAAACAAAAAUCACAUCCCAGUCGGUUGCAACUGUUCAUUCGCUUUUUUCUAGUUUUGUCAAAGGAGUCAUUUUCAUGUCAAGGAAGAAAAAUCACUGGCACUUGGUGUUAUAUGUAUGGUCAAGGCAAGCCAAGCCAAAGUAUUCAAAAGCUCCAUUGAUGUGCUGCCCGUUUCAAUAUCUGUGGUGGGGUAAGUGGAGAAUGACCAAAUAUAUUAGCACUGAGAACUAUAUCAUUUCUCUUUCAGAUAGUGGAAGUGUAGGGCCCUUCAAAAGGGAUUGAUGGGUAUUGUGUAUGAUUUAUUUGGAGAACUUUUUAUGCAAGUUGAAAUAGAUAAUUGUAGUUUGUCUUAUAAAGCUGUGUUGGAAGCUUCAUGUUUUGACAAUAAUUAGGAAAUUUCAAAUCACUCCUUAUUUUUCGG